CCUGUCCAGUCAUUUGAAAUCCAUAGAUUAGGGCCUAAUACAUUUUUCAAUUGACUGAUUUACUUGUAUGAACUGUAAAACUUAGUAAAAAUCACUGAAAUUGUUGCAUUUAUAGUUUUGUUAGGUAUAGUUGACAAAUUGAAUAAGGUGUGCUAGCUCUGGAAUAUAUCAAGUACAUGAAAAGUUCUGGGGUUCUCCAUGAGAGGUUUGAGAAACCACUACUUUAUAACAUGCCUUGAAUUGAAUCUCAGCCUGAAUGAGGAAAACUUUGAGCAGAAUUAGUCUUUCUUAAAUGAUUAAUUCCUUGUCCUUUCUCCUAGCCUUUUUUCAAAAUGCAAUUGAUCUUCAUACAUUUCAGUUCGUACAGUGCCUAGGGGAGCUCUACUGUGAGGAGGAAGGAUGAUUGAACGGGAGCAUUGUCCAGUAUAGCCAGAGAUGACAUCUCAGAGGUCUGUUGGUGACCUCUACUGGUCAGGGGCUGAUGGGAUAGCUAGCAGAAGGGGUGGAGGACUGAGGACGCUCACAGCCAGAGUUGUGUAGGAGGCUCUCUGGAGGACUGGGUCUUGACUCUAAGGGUAUGUGAGCAUCAGUUGAACUUUUAUAUCACACUGGGAAUUUGAUCUUUCUAUUACUGUAUUUCAGUUGUUGUAUACGAUGGCCUCAAUAAUACUUUACUAAGACACUUUUGUCCAAAUCAGUUCCAACCAGUGACUUCUGUUGCAUUAUCCGCCAUGUGAUGACUCCAACCUCCAUUGAUAAGUGACGACGACUCCUAGAGGGAAAAAAAAAAAACCUUGAAAGCUGUACAUUUUUCCAUC